GACGAACGCUGGCGGCGUGCUUAACACAUGCAAGUCGAACGGAAAGGCCCUGCUUUCUUUGUGGCCUCGAGUGGCCAGCGUGUGGGUCGCGCGUGAAUAACCUGCCUUUUAUUUUGGCAUAACUUCUAGAAACUGGGGCAACUGGCUGUAAGUCCCUCCAGCUCCAUGGUGGGGGUCGGCCAGUUUCGGCGGUUGGGGAUGGAAUUGGGGCGUAGCAGCCUGUUGGUGGGGUAUUGGCUCAGCAAGGCGGUGACGGGUGGCCGGCCUGAGAGGGUGACCGGCGAGAUGGGGAAUAGGAUAACGCCAAGACUCCUGCGGGAGGCAGCAGUGGGGAAGAUUGGACAAGGGGCGGAAGCCUGAUGCAGCGACGCCGCGUGCGGGAUGAUGGCCUUCUGGUUGUAGACAGCUUGCGCCUGUGACGGAGCGUGAGUGACGGUAAUGGGUAAAGAAGCACCGGCUAACUACGUG
rnacentral:rRNA from 1 species